AGAGUUUGAUCAUGGCUCAGGAUGAACGCUAGCGGGAGGCCUAACACAUGCAAGCCGAGCGGUAGAGAUUCUUCGGAAUCUUGAGAGCGGCGUACGGGUGCGGAACACGUGUGCAACCUACCUUUAUCUGGAGGAUAGCCUUUCGAAAGGAAGAUUAAUACUCCAUAGUAUAUUGAUUGGCAUCAAUUGAUAUUGAAAGCUCCGGCGGAUAGAGAUGGGCACGCGCAAGAUUAGUUAGUUGGUGAGGUAACGGCUCACCAAGACGAUGAUCUUUAGGGGCCUGAGAGGGUGAUCCCCCACACUGGUACUGAGACACGGACCAGACUCCUACGGGAGGCAGCAGUGAGGAAUAUUGGUCAAUGGGUGCAAGCCUGAACCAGCCAUCCCGCGUGAAGGACGACUGCCCCUAUGGGUUGUAAACUUCUUUUGUAUAGGGAUAAACCUACCCUCGUGAGGGUAGCUGAAGGUACUAUACGAAUAAGCACCGGCUAACUCCGUG
rnacentral:rRNA from 1 species